UUUAUACUCCCUCCGUCCUAAAAUUCUUGUCUUAGAUUUGUCUAUGUAUCUAGUCAUAUUUUAGUAUUUAGAUACAUUCAUUUCUAGACAAACUUAAGACAAAUUUUUGGGACAGAGGGAGUACGUG
rfam:Hordeum vulgare subsp. vulgare, WGS project CAJW01000000 data, contig: morex_contig_137075